UUGAUCCUGGCUCAGGACGAACGCUGGCGGCGUGCCUAAUACAUGCAAGUCGAGCGGACAGAAGGGAGCUUGCUCCCGGAUGUUAGCGGCGGACGGGUGAGUAACACGUGGGUAACCUGCCUGUAAGACUGGGAUAACUCCGGGAAACCGGAGCUAAUACCGGAUAGUUCCUUGAACCGCAUGGUUCAAGGAUGAAAGACGGUUUCGGCUGUCACUUACAGAUGGACCCGCGGCGCAUUAGCUAGUUGGUGGGGUAAUGGCUCACCAAGGCGACGAUGCGUAGCCGACCUGAGAGGGUGAUCGGCCACACUGGGACUGAGACACGGCCCAGACUCCUACGGGAGGCAGCAGUAGGGAAUCUUCCGCAAUGGACGAAAGUCUGACGGAGCAACGCCGCGUGAGUGAUGAAGGUUUUCGGAUCGUAAAGCUCUGUUGUUAGGGAAGAACAAAUUCGAGAGUAACUGCUCGCACC
rnacentral:rRNA from 1 species